rnacentral:tRNA from 1 species
UGAAGGCAGCGGUCUUGAAAACCGCCAGGGGUGCAAGCCUCUCGUGGGUUCGAAUCCCACCCCGUC